GGAGGCUUUGAAGUGUGGACGCCAGUCUGCAUGGAGCCGGCCUUGAAAUACCACCCUUUAAUGUUUGAUGUUCUAACGUUGACCCGUGAUCCGGGUUGCGGACAGUGUCUGGUGGGUAGUUUGACUGGGGCGGUCUCCUCCUAAAGAGUAACGGAGGAGCACGAAGGUUGGCUAAUCCUGGUCGGACAUCAGGAGGUUAGUGCAAUGGCAUAAGCCAGCUUGACUGCGAGCGUGACGGCGCGAGCAGGUGCGAAAGCAGGUCAUAGUGAUCCGGUGGUUCUGAAUGGAAGGGCCAUCGCUCAACGGAUAAAAGGUACUCCGGGGAUAACAGGCUGAUACCGCCCAAGAGUUCAUAUCGACGGCGGUGUUUGGCACCUCGAUGUCGGCUCAUCACAUCCUGGGGCUGAAGUAGGUCCCAAGGGUAUGGCUGUUCGCCAUUUAAAGUGGUACGCGAGCUGGGUUUAGAACGUCGUGAGACAGUUCGGUCCCUAUCUGCCGUGGGCGCUGGAGAACUGAGGGGGGCUGCUCCUAGUACGAGAGGACCGGAGUGGACGCAUCACUGGUGUUCGGGUUGUCAUGCCAAUGGCACUGCCCGGUAGCUAAAUGCGGAAGAGAUAAGUGCUGAAAGCAUCUAAGCACGAAACUUGCCCCGAGAUGAGUUCUCCCUGACUCCUUGAGAGUCCUGAAGGAACGUUGAAGACGACGACGUUGAUAGGCCGGGUGUGUAAGCGCAGCGAUGCGUUGAGCUAACCGGUACUAAUGAACCGUGAGG
rnacentral:rRNA from 1 species